rnacentral:rRNA from 1 species
AGUCGAGCGGAUGAAGAGAGCUUGCUCUCUGAUUCAGCGGCGGACGGGUGAGUAAUGCCUAGGAAUCUGCCUGGUAGUGGGGGACAACGUCUCGAAAGGGACGCUAAUACCGCAUACGUCCUACGGGAGAAAGCAGGGGACCUUCGGGCCUUGCGCUAUCAGAUGAGCCUAGGUCGGAUUAGCUAGUUGGUGAGGUAAUGGCUCACCAAGGCGACGAUCCGUAACUGGUCUGAGAGGAUGAUCAGUCACACUGGAACUGAGACACGGUCCAGACUCCUACGGGAGGCAGCAGUGGGGAAUAUUGGACAAUGGGCGAAAGCCUGAUCCAGCCAUGCCGCGUGUGUGAAGAAGGCCCUAGGGUUGUAAAGCUCUUUCAACGGUGAAGAUAAUGACGGUAACCGUAGAAGAAGCCCCGGCUAACUUCGUGCCAGCAGCCGCGGUAAU